CGACUCGGGGAGGUAGUGACGAAAAAUAACAAUUCAAGACUCUUAACGAGGCCUUGAAGUUGGAAUGAGUACACUUUAAAACUUUUAACGAGUAACUAUUGGAGGGCAAGUCUGGUGCCAGCAGCCGCGGUAAUUCCAGCUCCAAUAGCGUAUACUAAAGUUGUUGCGGUUAAAAAGCUCGUAGUUGGAUCUUGGAAUGUGUUCAAGCGGGUCAGCUUCUGGCUGUGCGCUGCUUGACGUGUUCUUCUAUUUGGUUUUGGUGCGGUGCGCUUAACUGCGUGUCGCUCCCGGCCGAAACGUUUACCUUGAAAAAAUUAGAGUGUUCAAAGCAGACCUGUUUGAGUCUGAAUAUUCGUGCAUGGAAUAAUGAAAUAUGAAUUCGGUUCUAUUUUGUUGGUUUUCGGAACUCGAGUUAAUGAUCAAGAGGGACAGACGGGGGCAUUCGUACUCUGCCGUUAGAGGUGAAAUUCUUGGAUCGGUGGAAGACGCGCAACUGCGAAAGCAUUUGCCAAGAAUGUUUUCUUAAAUCAAGAACGAUAGUCGGAGGUUCGAAGACGAUCAGAUACCGUCCUAGUUUCGACUGUAAACUAUGCCAGCUAACGAUCAGACAGAGUUCUCUACGACUUGUCUGGCAGUUUCCGGGAAACCAAAGCGUUUGGGUUCCGGGGGAAGUAUGGUUGCAAAGCUGAAACUUAAAGGAAUUGACGGAAGGGCACCACCAGGAGUGGAGCCUG
rnacentral:rRNA from 1 species